AUCGGUUUGGAACACAGACCUUAUGUGAAAGCAGUUUUAGUAAAGCAGUCCUCAGUUCAAGCGUUAUCCUUAGAUACCUCUUCUUCCGUGAGUCUCCUCCUAAGUGCACCCCAUAAGCUAGCUCUGACGACGAACCUCGUUCGCUGCAAUAAUGUGGCUUAAAAAAUUGAAAGGAAGUAUCUAAUGUCUAACAAAAUGACUGGUUUAGUAAAAUGGUUCAACGCUGAUAAAGGUUUCGGCUUCAUCUCUCCAGCUGACGGCAGCAAAGAUGUAUUCGUACAUUUCUCUGCAAUCCAGAGCGAUAGCUACAAAUCUCUGGACGAAGGUCAGACCGUUGAGUUCACUAUCGAGAAUGGCGCUAAAGGCCCAGCAGCAGCUAACGUAGUAGCUCUGUAAUCUCUAUAGUUUAGUAUUGUUU
rfam:Hafnia alvei FB1, complete genome.